AUGGGCCACAGAAGACUCCCAGGAUACAUAAUGCAGUGUGUGGAGACUGUACACACAAUAAAUACUCAGAAAACACAUGUACAUGAAUGCAACACAGAAGUACAAUGUGCCCUGGCAUAUAACAGUACAAAUGCCUACUGGAUGAUAACUGAGGGGAUGAACUGCAGGAGGAAGCCCUCAGCAAGAGAUCCUGAGUGCCUUGCGGAAAGGAGUUGGUUCAAGUACCAGGAAGGCCCCAGUGAAUUUCUGCAAAGGACCAACUCAGAGCCCUGGGCAGACCACACCAGGGACCCUCUUUCACCUGAGGAAAAGUCUGAGCAGUUGAAGCCUUUCUCUUCCUUAUCCCUAUAUUCCUUCCUCAGGCCCGGGACAUCUUUGUGUGUGCUUCCUGGAUGGGACAGCAAUCUGCAGAACUGGCAAGGCCACAGCGUUUUCCAUUCCCUGUAGCCUUAGUUAGAGUCUUUGAAGAGUCGGGGGAAUCCCAGGGCCCUGGACCCCUACCUAUCCUGCAGCCUAGGAGGAAGCUCUGGGCAGCUGCAGACAGAAUUGAAUCCCUCUGCCUUCCCCUCCCAGGUCUGCCGGCAUCUGUCUCCUUUGCCACCAGAUUAAUACUGUUCAUAACCUCAGGGGUAAGCAUAGCACCUUGUAUGCAGUAGGCACUAAAUAAGUGCUGCUUGACAAGAGCAGCUAUUUAUAUUAGUGAAAUCAUUUUCCUCUUUGGUCCAUGGGUGAGCCCUGCUGUCCUGGAAGGGACAGAGCUGGGAGGGUGACUCUGACACUUCACUCCAUCCUUCAUUCUUGAGUCCCGAGGAGGAAGGAGACAUUUGUGCCUGUGCCUUACCCACCAGGACUGUGUCCCCAUGGGCUCUUUUUAAAGGAUGCUCUCUUCUCUCCAGAGUUUUGUUGGUAUAUAUUAGGGGCCAUGUGUGGCUAUAGGUCAAGCCUCAUUCUCUAAUUUGGCAGGAUUAUAAUUAAGUUGAGGUUUUGUCCUCACUUGUUUUAUUCCCGUUGUCUCAUUUCUCAACUGCUUUACUGGUAAAAGCAGGGAGGCCAGCAGGAAUGUAUUUAAUGAUCAUCCCCAAACCCCAUCACAAUGUGUGUAGAGACCCUCUGGCAGUUUAAAGUCUGGGCCUCCCCAGUCCCCUUCCUGAACUAGACUAUGCUAUGGGGUUCAGCUAGAUCUUUGGUAUCUUCCUCAGAGACCUGGGGUUGGUUAACCCAGUUUAGAAGUAGGCAAAGUUCUUUAACAGUACCUACUUCUCCUUAUAGCUAUAGGCUCAGGGACUAAUUUUUCCACAUUGGAAAUCAGAACCAUUUCCCAGAGCUUCCCCUUUGCUACAUUAUCCCAUCGGAUUCUGUCCAGAAGUCUAUGAAAAGAUACAGCUGUUCUUCCCAUAGAGAGAAGUGCCAGAGGUGUUUAGGAUCACACAGCAGAACAACAGGGAAGGCUGUGUGGGGGGGGGAUAGAAUUCAGGCCGCCUCUAGCUUCACCCAUCCUCUUCUCAUCCUGUGUUCCUUUCAGUUUAUUUACAUAAAUAUGUUCCAAGGCACAACUACUACAUUGUUCCUGGUUACAGGGUAAUAAAUCUUUACUGAAAACAGUAAUGAGAAAAGAGAUGUAAAACUUAGAGGAAAAUGUUCCAGUUAGGAAAACAACUGAAUGUUUGCCUGACACUUGUUCCUGGAAUGAAUGGCCUCCGUAACUCCAUCUCACCCUUGAGGUCUUAUCUAGCAGCAUUCUUACCAGUCAUCCCUCUCUUUCAAACUACAGCCCCUCUCCCUAUUCUUGCUGCUGUCUAAAAGGUCCAGACAACUGGAAAACAGUAGAUUUUCCAUCGGAAUGAGUUAUUUUCAUAGGACUCCCUUUCCUUGACGUGUCUUCUGUUAAAAUCUAGGAUUUCUUCGUUCCCUCUCACGUCUCUGAACCUCCAGCCUCCAGCCCCUAGCCCCUACCCCCACAGCCCAGCAGGGUUCCCUCCUCUCCCGGAGCCUCGUAUCCUCCCCUUUAAGGCGCGCCCCUCCCCCACACCAACGCCUCCCC
ensembl:lincRNA